CGGCCUGGGAGGCGGACACCGUUCGUCCCCCCGUUCGGGACGUGGGGGUCGCAGGUUCAAAUCCUGCCACUCCGACCA
rnacentral:tRNA from 1 species